CUGCACUCGAUACGGGCUAGCUAGAGUUUGGUAGGGGAGACUGGAAUUCCUGGUGUAGCGGUGGAAUGCGCAGAUAUCAGGAGGAACACCAAUGGCGAAGGCAGGUCUCUGGGCCAAUACUGACACUGAGGAGCGAAAGCGCGGGGAGCGAACAGGAUUAGAUACCCUGGUAGUCCGCGCCGUAAACGAUGGGCGCUAGUUGUGGGGACCUUCCACGGUCUCUGCGACGCAGCUAACGCAUUAAGCGCCCCGCCUGGGGAGUACGAUCGCAAGAUUAAAACUCAAAGGAAUUGACGGGGCCCCGCACAAGCAGCGGAGCAUGCGGCUUAAUUCGACGCAACGCGAAGAACCUUACCAAGGCUUGACAUAUACCGAAAAGCAGCAGAGAUGUUGUGUCCGCAAGGGCGGUAUACAGGUGGUGCAUGGUUGUCGUCAGCUCGUGUCGUGAGAUGUUGGGUUAAGUCCCGCAACGAGCGCAACCCUCGUUCUGUGUUGCCAGCAUUAAGUUGGGGACUCACAGGAGACUGCCGUGGUCAACACGGAGGAAGGUGGGGAUGACGUCAAAUCAUCAUGCCCCUUAUGUCUUGGGCUGCACGCAUGCUACAAUGGCAGGUACAAAGGGCUGCAAUACCGUAAGGUGGAGCGAAUCCCAAAAAGUCUGUCUCAGUUCGGAUUGAGGUCUGCAACUCGACCUCAUGAAGUCGGAGUUGCUAGUAAUCGUAGAUCAGCAACGCUACGGUGAAUACGUUCCCGGGGCUUGUACACACCGCCCGUCACGUCACGAAAGUCGGUAACACCCAAAGUCAGUGGCCCAACCGCAAGGAGGGAGCUGCCUAAGGUGGGAUCGGUGAUUGGGACGAAGUCGUAACAAGGUA
rnacentral:rRNA from 1 species